GCGGGAGGGGGCGGAGGAGGGGCGCGCCGCGCUGGCCGGGCCGCGCGCAGGCGCAGAACGCGGGAGCCGGGCCACGGCCGCCGCAGAGCGCC
rnacentral:miRNA from 1 species